rnacentral:rRNA from 1 species
AAGGUAGCGUAAUCACUUGUUCUUUAAAUGUGGACUAGUAUGAAUGGCAUCACGAAGGUUAUACUGUCUCCUUUUUUUAAUCAGUGAAACUAAUUUCCCCGUGAAGAAGCGAGGAUGAAAGUAUAAGACGAGAAGACCCUAUGGAGCUUCAAACAAUACAGCACUUGCCCCCGAAAUUUAAGUUUCUGAACAUCUUAAUUCUUUGGAAAAUAUGACUGUAAGUUUUUGGUUGGGGUGACCGCGGAGCAAAGCACAACCUCCAUGUUGAAAGAAUUUUUCUAAGCUAAGAACAACCCGCCGAAGCAUCAAUACAUUGACAUCUAUUGACCCAAUAUAUUUGACCAACGAACCAAGUUACCCUAGGGAUAACAGCGCAAUCCACUUCAAGAGCUCCUAUCGACAAGUGGGUUUACGACCUCGAUGUUGGAUCAGGGUAUCCCAGUGGUGCAGCCGCUACUAAAGGUUCGUUUGUUCAACGAUUAAAACCCUACGUGAUCUGAGU